ACGAACGCUGGCGGCGUGCUUAACACAUGCAAGUCGAGCGGAAAGGCCCUUCGGGGUACUCGAGCGGCGAACGGGUGAGUAACACGUGAGUAAUCUGCCCUUGGCUUUGGGAUAACUACCGGAAACGGUGGCUAAUACCGGAUACGACACAGGUGUGCAUGCGCUCUGUGUGGAAAGUUUUUUCGGCCAGGGAUGUGCUCGCGGCCUAUCAGCUUGUUGGUGGGGUAAUGGCCUACCAAGGCUUCGACGGGUAGCCG
rnacentral:rRNA from 1 species